UGCAGUCUGCAACUCGACUGCACGAAGCUGGAAUCGCUAGUAAUCGCGGAUUAGCACGCCGCGGUGAAUACGUUCCCGGGCCUUGUACACACCGCCCGUCACACCAUGGAAGUCUGCAAUGCCCGAAGCCGGUGGCCUAACCACUUAUGUGGAAGGAGCCGUCUAAGGCAGGGCAGAUGACUGGGGUGAAGUCGUAACAAGGUACC
rnacentral:rRNA from 1 species